AUUAUGGGGUGUGUAGAUUUGAUGUAAGGGGUCUAAAUACCUUCCGAAUGCACUGUAUAGUGUACAUACCUACAAACAUGUUAGAGCUAAGAAGUGUGGGCUCCUUACUUCCUGUUUUCAACCUGUUGCAUACUGCAGUAAGCCACAGUAGCAAUGUAUUUCGACUGUUGGGAGAUGUUUCAUGGGCUGACGCCGGUGAGACGUGCACGGCGGCGCUACAGCAAGAGUGUAGCUAGCUAGCAAGUAACAGUUGCUUUCUAACUGCAAGUUCGGCUGACUAACUGUGGUAAAUCCAUAUGACGUACCGGCACCAAAUGUGAGAACUUAUACUGUAGUUGCCUACAUGCGACUAAGCUACCCAUCCCAGCCACCCUCUGCAAUGUGUGGCCACAGCUGUGGAACCAUGGUUAGACAGACACCUUCCCCCCCCACUGAGAAUGUUUGAGAGUUAACAGACAAUUCAGCCUCACUGAAGUUUGUCCAGAAAAAUACAGUGUACACUAAGAGCACAAGGGCUGAAGACUCCAGGAUGCAGAUAAAUGACUGAGGCUGAGCAAGCAGGAAUAUUGACAUAAAAUGAGGAUGAAAUUGUAAAAAAAAUAGCUAGCACAGAAUGGGUCGAUGUUUUGUUAUUUUUAUCAGUCAUUGCCUGUUCUGAUAAUGUUUACAUAACCAAUUACAAACUGAGAAAACCAUGGUGUGGAAAAUAAAUUUGUACAAUGUACAGAACACCCA